rnacentral:rRNA from 1 species
UGGGGAAUCUUGGACAAUGGGGGAAACCCUGAUCCAGCCAUGCCGCGUGAGUGAAGAAGGCCCUAGGGUUGUAAAGCUCUUUCAGUGGUGCAGAUAAUGACGGUAGCCACAGAAGAAGCCCCGGCUAACUCCGUGCCAGCAGCCGCGGUAAUACGGAGGGGGCUAGCGUUGUCCGGAAUUACUGGGCGUAAAGCGCACGUAGGCGGAUGAUCAAGUUGGGGGUGAAAGCCCGGAGCUCAACUCCGGAACUGCCUCCAAAACUGAUCGUCUCGAGUCCGGGAGAGGUGAGUGGAAUUCCUAGUGUAGAGGUGAAAUUCGUAGAUAUUAGGAAGAACACCAGUGGCGAAGGCGGCUCACUGGCCCGGUUACUGACGCUGAGGUGCGAAAGCGUGGGGAGCAAACAGGAUUAGAUACCCCGGUAGUCC